AUUUCUAAAUCCGUGUAAGUGCAAUUUUACUGCCACGGGCUCCCCGCUUAAUACAAUUUAUUAACUUCCAGUC